rnacentral:rRNA from 1 species
UGGUAAGUAUACCGGAAGGUGUGCUUGGAAA